rnacentral:sRNA from 1 species
UCAUAGUGCUAGAAAAAAAUUAUGGUCC